ensembl:lncRNA
GGGCUGGAGGGCUGCCAUGAGCUGAAGGGCCUUGAGGGGCUGUAGGGCCAUGAGGAGCUGUAGGAUCAUGAGGGGCUGUAGGGCCGCAGUGAGCUGCAGGGCAGUGAGGGGCUGUAGGGCCGUGAGGGGCUGUAGGGCUGUGAGGGGCUGUAGGGCCGUGAGGGGCUGUAGGGCCGUGAGGAGCUGUAGGGCCGUGAGGGGCUGUAGGGCCGUGAGGGGCUGUAGGGCCGUGAGGGGCCGUAGGGCUACAGUGAACUACAGGGCCAUGAGGAGCUGUAGGGCUGCCAUGAGCUGUAGGGCGAUGAGGAGCUGUAGGGCUGUGAGGGGCCGUAGGGCUGUGAGGGGCCGUAGGGCUGUGAGGGGCCGUAGGGCUGUGAGGGGCCGUAGGGCUGCAGUGAACUACAGGGCCAUGAGGAGCGAGCUGUAGGGCCACGAGAGAGCUGCACCCCAGGGGCCCUUUUGUCUCCAGAGCACACUGUGGGUUUACAUUCAUUAUGCAGCCCCCAGUGCCCCUUUUGUGGGGCUGCCAUCCGGCCUCUCCUCCCUCAUUCUGAACAUAAAUCCAGCCCUUGCUCCCAUUAAACGUCCUGCUUCGCUUCCCCUCAGGUCCCUUUUGUCACUUUGCUAACGACUCUCUGCAGCCUGGGGAGAAGCAGCCUCCGCUCACCUUGCACUCGCACCUCCUCCCAUCCAGCGGCAAUGACUUCCCCCAACCACACAACAAAACAAACAGGGGUGGUGGUGGUGGUUGUGGUGGCGGAGAAGUGCUUGAUUUAAGCAACUCGAUUUAAAUAACCCCCUCCUCCCUCUGCUCCUCAUUGGUGCCUUCGUUCUCCUCCAUAUUAAUGAAGAAGCGGAGGAGCGGCGAUUGGCUCCUCGUCCCCUUUCCUUUGCUCAGGCACUCGGGGGAGGAGGUGUUUGCAUUUCUCCGCAGGAGCCUCUCGCUUUGCGGAGCAUUGUCUAGCGAUGGCAAAUUCCUUCACGGCCGGGACCUGGCCCAUCCCCUGAGCAAAGCAGCCUGGACAUGACCGGCAGGCGAGGGAGGAGGAAUUGUGAUUCCCUCCGGAGGCUCCGACCCCUCCCCCCCCUCCUCUCCUC